CCAGUCCCACAGCAUUGAAUGAUGUCAUGGGAUCUGCAGCUCAGUGAGAUGAAAGGGAUAAAGCGGAACCCGCUGGCACUGGGGAAAGCUUCCAACACACAAUUCACAGCAUAGCUUGGGAACUGAAAAAGCUACAGAUCCAGCCACUCAGCUCUAAACAGAAUGCACAUCAUUCUUACAUGCUAUCACAAAAAAGAGGGAGGGCAGGGAAGAACUAAUGUGAUCCAUUUUUAAGCAAAAGAAUUUGAGGACUGGAAUCAGAAUUUAAGAGGACAACUACCUGCUGAAAAGAGAGCUCUUUUCCUCUUCAAAGCACUGCCUUUGAUGUAUGGCAACUGAUCACUGAUCAGAUUACAGGCAUUUGGUCUCAGUGCUCCUCUGCCUUUGAUCUGCAUGGUUAAUUUUAUUUUCCUGGAUUUGGAGUUUCGUCUGGGCUUGUGCUGACAUACUUUUUUUUAAAAAGGAGGUAAGUUAAAAGCAGUUAAUACAGAAGCUCUGGCAGUGUGGAUUAAGUUGCAGAAAGGCUGACUAUUGGAAAAACUUCAGCAUAUAGCAGUUCUUCAUAAGGGAGAGAGGUUUAACUCUAAGAAAUGGGCAGUAAAGUAUUACAAAGACAAGAUAAAAUAAUGAAGAUGGUAAUACUCCUAUUAGUGUAUUUGUCAAGAAAAGGAAUUUGUGAGACGGGGGAUUGUAGAGAGCAAGAGUUCAGGGACUAUGCUGGAAACUGUAUCCUCUGCAAACAGUGUGGACCGGGAAUGGAGCUGUCAAAGGUAUGUAUAGGAUAUUCUGCUCUGUGGCACUUUU